AGCGUUAUCCGGAUUUAUUGGGUUUAAAGGGUCCGCAGGCGGAACUUUAAGUCAGUGGUGAAAGCCUACAGCUUAACUGUAGAACUGCCAUUGAAACUGAAGUUCUUGAGUGUGGUUGAAGUGGGCGGAAUAUGUCAUGUAGCGGUGAAAUGCAUAGAUAUGACAUGGAACACCUAUUGCGAAAGCAGCUCACUAAACCAUUACUGACGCUCAUGGACGAAAGUGUGGGUAGCGAACAGGAUUAGAUACCCUGGUAGUCCACACCGUAAACUAUGAUCACUAGAUGUUGGCGAUAUAAUGUCAGUGUUAAAGAGAAAUCGUUAAGUGAUCCACCUGGGGAGUACGUUCGCAAGAAUGAAACUCAAAGGAAUUGACGGGGGCCCGCACAAGCGGUGGAGCAUGUGGUUUAAUUCGAUGAUACGCGAGGAACCUUACCAAGGCUUAAAUGUAAAACGACCGGUUGAGAAAUCAACCUUUUUUCGAACGAUUUACAAGGUGCUGCAUGGUUGUCGUCAGCUCGUGCCGUGAGGUGUCGGGUUAAGUCCCAUAACGAGCGCAACCCCUAUUUUUAGUUACCAGCGAAUAAUGUCGGGAACUCUAAAGAAACUGCCCGUGCAAACGGAGAGGAAGGUGGGGAUGACGUCAAAUCAUCACGGCCCUUAUGUCUUGGGCUACACACGUGCUACAAUGGUUAUUACAAUGAGAUGCAAACUGGUAACAGUAAGCUAAUCUAUAAAAAUAAUCCCAGUUCGGAUCGGAGUCUGCAACUCGACUCUGUGAAGUUGGAAUCGCUAGUAAUCGUAUAUCAGCAAUGAUACGGUGAAUACGUUCCCGGGCCUUGUACACACCGCCCGUCAAGCCAUGGAAGUUUGGAAUACUUAAAGUCAGUCACUGAAAAGAACUGCCUAGGGUAAAACAAGUAACUAGGGCUAAGUCGUAACAAGGUAGCCGUACCGGAAGGUGUGGCUG
rnacentral:rRNA from 1 species